UUCUGGAAAAUAAAUAUAAAAACGAAAGGAAGAGGGGACUGAGAGUUUAGCCAGAUUUUCUUUUCCUUCACUGCUUUUGUUCGGUCACCCUCUUAGAAAAGAGAAAAUUUUAGAAUAUUAGGGUCUUGCAAUCGACGGAGCUAAGUUAGGAAGAUUGUGGAGAUCGUUAUUGUUGCUUGUUGAUUUAAUGAUGGGUUGGAGGAAUUUCUCUUUUCCGUUUGAAGAAAUUUGAUUUGAGGCAAGUGAUUUACACUCAAUUGAUCGGUGUGAUUUCUAUCGGUACAUGGGUUUGUGCUAUUGCGAUUGACGAGUGUGUUAAACAGUGUUUGUGGAAGUGUCGGAACUAUGGUUCGGUUGAAGUUGUGUGUAUGCGAACUAGCUCUUGGUGACUUGAUUAUGGUGGAGUUAUCAAGUGUCAUGGAACUAACAGCGGUAUCGGUACGUGAUUUCGAUAAUUUUGCUGUUGGCUAAUUUGUAUUGGCUUGACAUGAAAGGUAGUAUUGGCUUGACAUGAAAGGUAAAUCUAGGAUUAGGACUAUUUAUACUUUACGUUACCGCAAGUGUUGAUAUGGUUAAUGAUAGUGAUAUACUGUGUGAACGUUUUACAUUGGCUGGUACCUUGGCUAAUCAUAUCUCAAAUUAUAUGUUUACAGAACUUAAGCUAUCUAGCACUUGGUAUAUAUUAAUGUAUAAUUCUUUGACCAAUCUAUCUUACUACGUGGACGACUGCGAGAUGGUAUGUAAUUGUUGCAUUUCAUCUCAGUUCACUUGCUGGGUAACAAAACUAUUCUCAUUUCCUUGUAAUUUCGUAUUGCUUAUUAUAUAACUUAAUCAUAUCUCAAAUUAUAUGUUUACAGAACUUAAGCUAUCUAGCACUUGGUAUAUAUUAAUGUAUAAUUCUUUGACCAAUCUACUCUUACUACGUGGACGGCUGCGAGAUGGUAUGUAAUUGUUGCAUUUCAUUUCAGUUCACUUGCCGGGUAACAAAACUAUUCUCAUUUCCUUGUAAUUUUGUAUUGCUUAUUAUAUAAGUUGGAGUUCCGUUGCAUAAUUCGUCUGGUUGUACCUUUUUAGUAUUUUUAGUCGGAAGUACUGUUUGUGCCCAUGUGGACUUUCGUACCAGAGCUUGAGAAAUAAUGAAUGAGAUGGUAAAAAACCAACAACCACUUUAUCUCAUUUUUACUGUGUUUAGUAUCCUAUCCAUUUAUUUCGAAGAAUUGCUGCAUCGCGCGAGAUUUGCCUUGAAUUGUGUUAGACAGUUGAUGCUUGUAACUUUACUUUCCAUCGCGCGAGAUUUGCCUGAUUAGAACUGUGUGCUUUCUAUUAAGAUGUAAUAGUUUUCUUCUUUUGGGGGGAAUUCGAAAUAUACAUUUUAGAGGAGUCUGGGUGUUCAUGGUUUGGUUCACAUAAGCAUUUUAGUAUGCUAUUAAUAAAUCUCAUCUUUAUAUAGGAUUGGUUUGGUGUAAGUAAGUAUACUUGUUAAGAAACUAGGUGAGAUUGAUUUGUAAGAUGCCGGUCUUUAAUAAUAUUUGUUAAGCUUUUGUAUUAUUGCUGUGAACAUUGCAUUGUGAACUGAAACGUUGUACCUAGUGGUAAUGAUCGGUGUUAGGAAUAUACCUUACUCCGCACUCUACAAUUUUCGCCACGAAAACAGUGGUCCAGAUGCUGAUAUUUAGUAGUUGUAUUAGUCUCACUUCGGAUGUGAAAUAGCUAUUUAUUUAGUUUGAUGCAUUUCCGUUAGAAGGGCAAGUAGUAUUGUUAUGCAGUCCAUCAUUUUUAUGCAAAUUCAUUAACAUAUUUAUAGUCUCUAUCUUUUAAAGCCAGUUAAUGUUUAAUGAUGCUUGGAGCCUGUGAUUUUGUUUUCUGGAUUGAAUAUAUCAUUUUGGAUUUGUACGUAGGAGAUCUUUUUCCCAUUUAUUUUUGUGUGUACUAGUCUUGGUAACCUUAUGCGCCGAUAGCACCUUGGUUGGCAUAAAUUCUACUUGUUAAACAGUAAAUGAAAUGGUUGACCUGGACAUGGAUGUCUUUUAUGGUUAGGGUAGUAUUUUGGAAGAAAGGACGAAGGUCCUCCUUUUAGUACAAAGAAGUAGUAAUAGUACUGGUACUAAUAGAUAACAACUAAGGAUUAGAAUUUUGAGACUACAAUAAGACAGAAUUGUGUCUGCCAAUAAUCUUCCCAAUUUUAUGUAUUGUUUCAUUUUUCAAUGCUUUUUUAAAAUACAAUGAUAAGGUAUGAUAGUAUUCGCCUUAAUUAUUCUUGUCGUGGCGUGGGAUUUGAUUUUUCUCAAGUUAGUUCGAUGCUGUGUUAUUUCAACUUUAGAUACUGUUUUCGAUGUAGUAAGUUAGGGACAGUUGUGCAACGCAAUUCAUACUAUCUGCUGUUAGACAUAGUUGUUAAAGGCAGUUCAUAUUAUCUAAACGAAAGUGAAAAACUACGGUCGUGCUUGAUCCCUUCGAGCAACGUAGAGGGUACCUAGGCAGCCGAUAUGCGGUUCAACACAAAUCUACAGGGUUGUUCAUAUCAUCCGAAAGUCUUGGUUACUGCCUUGCAGUUCAUACCAUCAAUUCAGAGAUGAUUGCAACCUUGGCAAGUAUGUAUCAUUGGCAACUGGCCAAUGGUGGCUGGUAACCAGAACUUCCUUGACGUUGGGAACUGGCCGUGUGUUAGUUUUUGGCAACUGGUCGUCUGUGAAUUUUUGCAACUGGCCGUCUGUGAAUUUUUGGCAUUGGCCGUCUGUGAAUUUUUGGCAAUUUACCGGCUGUGAAUUUUGGCAACCGGCCGGCUGCGAAUUUUGGCAACCGGCCGGCUGUGAAUUUUGGCAACCGGCCGUCUGUGAAUUUUGGCAACCGGCCGUCUGUGAAUUUUGGCAACCGGCCGUCUGUGAAUUUUGGCAACUGGUCGUCUAUGAUUUUUGGUAAUUGGCCGUCUCUUAUUUUGGCAACUGGCCGACUCUUGUUACUUUUUUUGAAAAUUGGAACUCUCAUAAAAUUUUAUGAGUAUUAUGGUAUGGGACAUAUGCUCAUAGAAUUCUAACCUUGAGACCAAUGCGAUUUCUGUUCAGCAGGAUCUCAAGUUUGUUGUUUGGUAAGAAACGAUCCCUACCUACUAAUGUAAGGAUUUUAUUAAUGAACAUAACUUUUUUUACCUGC